AGUGUCUUUGAUCUUAAUCAGGGGUCACCAACCUUUUAGAGACUGGGAGCUACUUCACGGGUCCAGAGUAACACGAAGGGCUACUUGUCUGAUACAGAC